GAUGAACGCUAGCGGCAGGCUUAAUACAUGCAAGUCGUGGGGCAGCAUGAGUGUAGCAAUACAUUUGAUGGCGACCGGCAAACGGGUGCGGAACACGUACACAACCUUCCUAUAAGUGGGGAAUAGCCCAGAGAAAUUUGGAUUAAUGCCCCGUAACAUAACGAUGUGGCAUCACAUUGUUAUUAUAGCUUCGGCGCUUAUUGAUGGGUGUGCGGCUGAUUAGAUAGUUGGCGGGGUAACGGCCCACCAAGUCUACGAUCAGUAGCUGAUGUGAGAGCAUGAUCAGCCACACGGGCACUGAGACACGGGCCCGACUCCUACGGGAGGCAGCAGUAAGGAAUAUUGGUCAAUGGACGCAAGUCUGAACCAGCCAUGCCGCGUGAAGGAUUAAGGUCCUCUGGAUUGUAAACUUCUUUUAUCUGGGACGAAAAAAGGCUUUUCUAAGUCACUUGACGGUACCAGAUGAAUAAGCACCGGCUAACUCCGUGCCAGCAGCCGCGGUAACAC
rnacentral:rRNA from 1 species